AGCGAACACGUUGGCGGCAGGCCUAACACAUGCAAGUCGAGCGCUCAUCUUCGGAUGGGAGCGGCGCAGACGGGUGAGUAACACGUGGGAACCUACCUUGAAGUAUGGAAUAACUGAGGGAAACUUCAGUACUAAUACCGUAUACGCCCUACGGGGGAAAGAUUUAUCGCUUCAAGACGGGCCCGCGUUGGAGAUUAGCUAGUUGGUGAGGUAAUGGCUCACCAAGGCGACGAUCCAUAGCUGAUUUGAGAGAAAAUGAUCAGCCACACUGGGACUGAGACACGGCCCAGACUCCUACGGGAGGCAGCAGUGGGGAUAAUAUUGGACAAUGGGCGCAAGCCUGAUCCAGCCAUGCCGCGUGAGUGAUGAAGGCCUUCAUGGGUUGUAAAGCUCUUUCAGAUGGGACGAUGAUGACGGUACCAUCAGAAGAAGCCCCGGCCUUAACUUCGUGCCAGCAGCCGCGGUAAUACGAAGGGGGCUAGCGUUGUUCGGAAUUACUGGAUGCGUAAAGCGCGCGUAGGCGGCUUUGUCAGUCAGGGGUGAAAUCCCGGGGCUUAACCUCGCCGAACUGCCUUUGAUACUGCAAGGCUUGAGUCUGUGAGAGGAUGGUGGAAUACCCAGUGUAAAGAGGUGAAAUUCGU
rnacentral:rRNA from 1 species